GCUUCAGUCAGAAAGCUGUGUCUACCGGCAGCCUUUAGGAACACAAAUAUGUAUUCCUAACGCUAUAGUUCCCUUGUCACUGUUUAAGUGACCGGCCCUUGCCGCGGCGCUCUCUCCGCAGACCCCCCCCCGCUGUGUGUGUAAUACAGAGACACCCCCUGCCCUGUGUGUAAUACAGAGACACCCCCUUCUCUGUGCGUAAUACAGAGACACCCCCUGCUCUGUGUGUAAUACAGAGGCACCUGCUGCUCUGUGUGUAAUAAUACAAAUAUUAAGCCUGUGGAGUUUCAGGUAGUGGGGUCCAUUAGAACGUAGGUUUCAUGUGCAACAUCACUUAAUCAUAGUUGGGAUAAAAACAAACAGAAUGCAUUAUUCAUGGUUUCACACUGGGAUCAUAUAAAUAUAAUGUAAUUCCCCGCUUUAUUAAGUCCUCAGGAUCCAGGGCAGCUGAAUAAUAAAACAAUAAUAAAAUUAAAAAAAACACAUAGCUUAAACAUAAGCUAGACACAUAAACCAUACAUCACCAGAUAAGCCAAAUAUCCAGCACCAGAAUAUGAUGUACUUAGCCUUAGAGAUUGGCAAAUGAAGUUUGACCGGGCUGAGGCCAUGAAAUGAGCACCUGGUCCCAGCCUUCUAGAGCAGUAUUAUGGGCUGGUCUUACAGCACUCGGUGUUGUGGAGGCUAGGAGAGGAGCAGAGGUAGGGCUGGGGAUGAUUAAGUUUUGUUGUGUAAUAGAGUUCUGCACCAGUUGCCAUUGUGAACCUGCAGGCUAUGCCAAAGUAUUAAAAUCCCUCAGCCAUGGGUAGGGUUCUCAAGACAUUUGUAGCAGCAUGUCUAAUUAUAUAUCUCUCUAUCUGUAACCAUACCUAGGAUCAUUAAGAGAAGGUGGGAGUCUGGGAGAGGAAAUAUAUAGAGGGUCAAAGGGCAAAAAGGGAGCAUGAAGCCAAUAACUUCAGGAACAAAGAGCCAUUAUUACAUGCAGACUGUAUAACUUACAUUAGUUAGUAAUAGGUUCUGUGUAGACAAGACUUAGUCUGGCAUACCAUUGUAUAUAUGUAAUAUAGAUGUAAUUGCUUGUUUCAUUGUCCUUGUCUCUGUGCACACUUAUUAUAUACUUUGACUUAG